GCAGGUAACACCUGAUCAGUCUUUGAUGGACUCUGGAUCUUCUGCCUCCGAGGAGUCCUCUAAAGCUGAUGAGUCGGUGCAGGAAACAUCCAUUACAGAGGAGGAAAACUCCGAUGGUUCUGUGGAUUUAAAAGCACCGAUAGAGUGAAAGUCAGAAAGGAGAUGUAGCUUGUGUCUGGACAACUGAACGAGCGCACACCGAGCGCUCCACAGCCCGGCCACAGAGGCAAAAAAUAACAAGGCAGAAAGACUUGGUUCAUGAAAUAAUGACAAAUCGAAACACUUGUUUUAAUGCCAAUAAAACACUUUGCGCA